rnacentral:rRNA from 1 species
UGGGGGAUAUUGCACAAUGGGGGAAACCCUGAUGCAGCAACGCCGCGUGAGUGAAGAAGGUCUUCGGAUUGUAAAACUCUGUUCUUGGUGAAGAUAAUGACGGUAGCCAAGGAGAAAGCUCCGGCUAACUACGUGCCAGCAGCCGCGGUAAUACGUAGGGAGCGAGCGUUGUCCGGAUUUACUGGGUGUAAAGGGUGCGCAGGCGGCUCUGCAAGUCAGGCGUGAAAGCUAGGGGCUCAACCCCUAAACUGCGCUUGAAACUGUGGAGCUUGAGUGAAGUAGAGGCAGGCGGAAUUCCCGGUGUAGCGGUGAAAUGCGUAGAGAUCGGGAGGAACACCAGUGGCGAAGGCGGCCUGCUGGGCUUUAACUGACGCUCAGGCACGAAAGCAUGGGUAGCAAA